rnacentral:tRNA from 2 species
GGGCUCGUGGUCUAGAGGCAUGACAUCCGCUUGACUCGCGGAAGAUCACCAGUUCGAAUCUGGUCGGGCCCA